CCCGUGUCCCGCGGAACCGGUACAUUCGACACUCGAUCGUCUGCAGUGGAACAGGGUCGACGACUCAUCGGAACUGUCUUAUCUUUCAGUUCAUUGUCGCUUGACGGAGAGGGGAGAAUUUUUUAAGGAGAAUAUGGAUCGGGACAGCUGGUACAAGAAACAAAGGAAAAAACAACAAGAACUUCUUUUGCUAAAGUCAUAACACAAUACACAUAUAAUUUGUUUUGUAAAAGCUAUCAAUACAUAAAAACUUUGUUACUAAGUAAUUGGAAUUUAAAGGGGGGAAAGUGUACAAGAGAUCCUGAGUUGCAUCUUUUCAUCACAUCAAGAGAUUCUCUUCUACAAACGUAAUAUUUAAAAGCAAAUUCUAGUUGUCAUUUACAUUUUAAAAAAUGUAACUCAAUUCAAUAUUGAAUGUUUAAUUGCAAUCAGUUAUCAUACAAACCAUCACAAAAUGACAGUCAUGUUUUACAAGAUUUUAACUAUAUUAUUACGGCACUGGUCUUUUAUGCUUCAUUGAAUUGUAAUUUGUCUGCUAUCAGUGUUAAAAUGCACACACCAGCUAUUAUUUCACUGAUUCUGCAAGAUUAUAUAAUUUUUCUUUGUACAAACUGCUGCGCAUGAGAUGUUCUUGAAUGCAGUGGCAAUGUAUGAUUUGAAUGUAUUGUGAAUAUUUCUAGUUGUAGGUAUUAUUUAACCUUGUAAUUUUCUUCUAUUAUUGUGUCUAGGAAAACUAUGUAAUUGAAUGAUGAUAAAUAUCCUCAUCAGUUUUGAUGAGGUUUAAUUUACAUCGCUGCAUCCUCAAACCCCGGUGACGAGAUUAUUCCAAAUGGGAUAUCUCACUGUAGUUGACUUAACCACGCCACCGUAAUACUAAAUACCUAUUGCAUUUGCCUCAAAAAGUGAACUUGCCUGAAUGUCCGCAUUGACUUCCGGUACGGAGGACAGCACUACCUGGUGGCAAUCCGACAAAGGCGUUGCUAUGGCAAUGGAUCCAAACAAUACAAAAUUUAAAUUUAGGAAUUAACCAAUUGUUUUCUUCUUUCUUAAUUUCUAAUAACCUUGGCCUUCGUACCAACAAUGACUGGUCCUUGUUUUGAGUUCAUUUUUGCUCUGUGUUAAAAGUGAGAAAGGCAUUAAGUAUUACAGUGGUGUUGACUUAACUUUACUUCUUAUAUAGCUGUCUGUUACAGCACUUACUGUAUUCUUUAUUAUUAUGUAGAUUACUGUAUAAGUUAACUGUUGUCCAAGGGUAUAUGUUGCCAUGGUACUGAAAAUUGUUGAAUUUGAGAGAAUAUUAGUGAACAAGUUACACAAAGAUGUUACUAUAAUGAAAUAUUUAAAUAAUGCAUGAAUCUGAUUUUGAGUUAAUUAUGAGCCUAAAUCAUUCAGCAUAGCAAAUAUAUAACUAAUCAACUUUGCUACAAACGUUUAUAAUAUUUGCAUUUUAUAUUAAAAAUGGUUUGUCUCUCAAAUCAUAAUUUUUCUUUUUUUUUGUUAAAAUGAAUGUUUAGUCACAUUGAAUCAAUCUGAUAAAAAAAAAAUUCAGCUAUGCAUGCAAAUGCAACAUGCAAUGGAGUUAUAACAGAAUUAUGUUUAUUGUGAAAAGGCAUAACAGUUGUACUUUGAACCUUGGAAAAUGUUACAAUCGCAUGGGUUGAAAAGCACAACAUGUGCAACUAUUUGUGUAAACCCUCAGAUAUAAAAGAUAUUUAAAGGAAACUUUUACAUGCUUUACAUCGCAAAUGUUAGUUUUUAAAUUUUUGAAAACAUUUUGUUUGGUAGGAAGCACCACUUUCAAAACUGAAUCAGAAUACGUGAAGCCUUAUUCUAAAAUAUUUAACAAGGUUUUCAAAAUUUAGAAAAUAUUUAACAAUUAUUUCAUUUUUCUUAGAUGAACAAUACAACAUGAUUUUUUUUCCAAUAUAAUUUCAAAUUUUAAAAUAACUGAGAGGAUUUUGUUGAAAUUACAAUCAGAUUUUUGAAAUUAAUAGAUAUACAUUUAAUUAUUAUGUGUAUGUUCUAAUGUGUGGUACUCUUUAAAUGUUUGUUCAGUAGUAUGGAAUUCCUAAUGGUUUUGCAAAAGGCUUAAGGCUUCACCAAGAAUGGCUAAAGACAGGUUUAACGACUAGUUCAGAUAGUUUUCCACUGCCAGGCUGCUAACUACCAAGAAAAUGCCUUAAAAUUGAUUUACACCACUAGCAUAAUAUAAGUUGCGAUGUUAACCCCCUCAGACAUUGUGGUGCAUUUGAUGUAGUAAUUUCUUAAAUGUAAAGUUAUAUUGAAUGUUGAAAAGGAUAAAACUAGUAAGUAGUACAUAAAAGUUUUAAGACUCCAUUAAAAUAAUAUUAUCUAAGACUGCCUUUACAAAGAAAAAAAACCUCCAUAGCCAAAAUUUUUCUCAAAUAUAUAUUUCAUAAGACAAAUCUUAUUCAUAAGACACAUAUUAAUGUACUGAAUAUAAACAAAGAUUUCACUUGUGUUUUAAAGUCAAAACCAAACUACUAGGUACAAAUGGUUUUAUUUUAUGCUAUUAAUGUCUGAGGAAGUUAAAUAUUUAGCAAACUGUUUAUUCACUGCCAAUGCUGUGGUUAUUACUGAAAGCAAGACUACUUUUUAUUUUAAAUCCUAGCAAUAAAUAUCACAAGUGUUACUUGAUUUUAUGUUUCCUACUAUAUUCAAAAUCUUAAAACUUUGGUUUAAAUGACGAAAUUCAAUACGAACUGACAAUAGUCAUAAGUUUACUUUAAAUUACUCUAAACGCAUUGCUCCGAGCAAAAGCAUCUACACAACCACAGCAUCCAACCACUUACAUCCAGUGCGUCACUAUCAGGUGCUAAAAUUCAAUUUUAAAUUUUAGCUUUUGGAGGAUUGAUACUCCCCUCCAAGCUUUGUGUAUUCCUGCCUGGCCAAUUGUCCUGGAGGGGAAUUGCAGAAUUUCGGCAAGAACUUGUCCUCAAUUUUAGCACUUGCAUAUGUAUCGGUAAAGUCAAUUUGGCUCUCCGAAUGUGUAGACAUCUAUGCAUUUUCUUCUCUAAUUUGAUUUUGCAUAUUCUCAUCGCAAUGCUGUGAUAAGAGGGGUAGUAAUUUAGCGAAUACAUUUGGUUCAGCUACCAAGACUUUGAUAGUCUCACAUGGUUACAAAGUCAUGUUUGUCCUUUCACAAUUUAAAAAAAAAAUCAGGUUUAUAUUACUUUUUAUGAAUACAUAACUGCUCAUAAUAUAAACUUAGAAUAAAUUCAAAUAACUUAUCAGUACAUUGCAUUAAAAUUAUAUCCUACAAACUUUAAAUUAUGUCAAAACAUUGAUGAGCCUUAUAAAAUCAAUAAACAUUGGCUUUUUAUUAAAUUAUGUUUCAACAUUUAAACUCUGUUCUUAAAUUCACCCAACCUACAAAAAUAAAGGAAAAAUAUUGUUUUUUUGAUGGAAAGAAAUCAACCGCUAAACUUGAAAAGAAUGAAAGCUUAGUUGGUGCUUUAGAUAAAAAAAUAUACUUAAAUGUAACCUAAUGUGUGUUUUUCCACUUUCUGUACCUCUUUUUGCAAAGAAUUUUAUUAAUUAUGUAAUUAAUUAUACUCACGCCACAGCAUCAAUUGAGCUUUAACUUGUUAAGGGUUCUCAAAUGGUAUUUUGAGUGUCGGAAUGUCAGCACUGCCAGGUUGUUUUCUUCCUGAUAAUUUUGAAACAGCAUUGUGUCUAAAAUAAUUUUAUUCUUUUAAGUGUGAGCUUAAUACAUUGUGCUGAAAAGGAAUUUGAAUAUAAAUGGUUUUGGUAAAAUGUACUUCAUAAGUGCACAUUUAUCAAUAUGAAUUCUGACUUACAUGCAAUCCUUCUUGAUCAUUGUUUAGUGUGAAACAUUUUCAAUGGUAUUUGAAUUUUGCAUGAAAUAAGUUUGUUUUGAUGUGACUGCAAUCAGUUUAUUUUGCUUUGAGAUGCUUCAUUCUGCUAGUAGUUUUGAUUUAUUAUCUUAUUUGGUUAAAUGCAAAAGUUUAAAAUAAAUAUUUCCUUUUAAUAGUGUCA